CCUACGGGGGCAGCAGUGGGGAAUAUUGGACAAUGGGCGAAAGCCUGAUCCAGCCAUGCCGCGUGUGUGAAGAAGGCCUUCGGGUUGUAAAGCACUUUCAGUGGGGAAGAAAGCCUUGGGGCUAAUACCCUCGAGGAAGGACAUCACCCACAGAAGAAGCACCGGCUAACUCCGUGCCAGCAGCCGCGGUAAUACGGAGGGUGCGUGCGUUAAUCGGAAUUACUGGGCGUAAAGCGCGCGUAGGCGGUCUGAUAAGCCGGUUGUGAAAGCCCCGGGCUCAACCUGGGAACGGCAUCCGAAACUGUCAGGCUAGAGUGAAGGAGAGGAAGGUGGAAUUCCCGGUGUAGCGGUGAAAUGCGUAGAGAUCGGGAGGAAUACCAGUGGCGAAGGCGGCCUUCUGGACUGACACUGACGCUGAGGUGCGAAAGCGUGGGUAGCAAACAGGAUUAGAUACCCCAGUAGUC
rnacentral:rRNA from 1 species